rnacentral:rRNA from 1 species
GAAAGGCCUCUUCGGAGGUACUCGAGUGGCGAACGGGUGAGUAACACGUGGGCAAUCUGCCCUGCACUUCGGGAUAAGCCUGGGAAACUGGGUCUAAUACCGGAUAGGACCUCAAGACGCAUGUCUUCUGGUGGAAAGCUUUUGCGGUGUGGGAUGGGCCCGCGGCCUAUCAGCUUGUUGGUGGGGUGACGGCCUACCAAGGCGACGACGGGUAGCCGGCCUGAGAGGGUGUCCGGCCACACUGGGACUGAGAUACGGCCCAGACUCCUACGGGAGGCAGCAGUGGGGAAUAUUGCACAAUGGGCGCAAGCCUGAUGCAGCGACGCCGCGUGGGGGAUGACGGCCUUCGGGUUGUAAACCUCUUUCACCAUCGACGAAGGUCCGGGUUUUCUCGGAUUGACGGUAGGUGGAGAAGAAGCACCGGCCAACUACGUGCCAGCAGCCGCGGUAAUACGUAGGGUGCGAGCGUUGUCCGGAAUUACUGGGCGUAAAGAGCUCGUAGGUGGUUUGUCGCGUUGUUCGUGAAAUCUCACGGCUUAACUGUGAGCGUGCGGGCGAUACGGGCAGACUAGAGUACUGCAGGGGAGACUGGAAUUCCUGGUGUAGCGGUGGAAUGCGCAGAUAUCAGGAGGAACACCGGUGGCGAAGGCGGGUCUCUGGGCAGUAACUGACGCUGAGGAGCGAAAGCGUGGGGAGCGAACAGGAUUAGAUACCCUGGUAGUCCACGCCGUAACGGUGGGUACUAGGUGUGGGUUUCCUUCCUUGGGAUCCGUGCCGUAGC